rnacentral:rRNA from 1 species
GAUGAACGCUGGCGGCGUGCCUAAUACAUGCAAGUCGAGCGAACAGACGAGGAGCUUGCUCCUCUGACGUUAGCGGCGGACGGGUGAGUAACACGUGGAUAACCUACCUAUAAGACUGGGAUAACUUCGGGAAACCGGAGCUAAUACCGGAUAAUAUAUUGAACCGCAUGGUUCAAUAGUGAAAGACGGUUUUGCUGUCACUUAUAGAUGGAUCCGCGCCGCAUUAGCUAGUUGGUAAGGUAACGGCUUACCAAGGCGACGAUGCGUAGCCGACCUGAGAGGGUGUUCGGCCACACUGGAACUGUGACACGGUCCAGACUCCUACGGGAGGCAGCAGUAGGGAAUCUUCCGCAAUGGGCGAAAGCCUGACGGAGCAACGCCGCGUGAGUGAUGAAGGUCUUCGGAUCGUAAAACUCUGUUAUUAGGGAAGAACAAAUGUGUAAGUAACUAUGCACGUCUUGACGGUACCUAAUCAGAAAGCCACGGCUAACUACGUG